AACAACUCCCACACUUAAGGCUCCAGAAUCAUUGCAAAGAGGAUGCAAAAAUUCUAAAGAGCCAGAGGAUCAGAGAGUUUGCUGUUGAUACCAUGUUUCCUAGUAAUAUCAGAGGCUAUACCCAUAGUCUGACCAACAUGGCUACCUAAACAAGAGCUGAACAAGGACACCAGCAAUAGAGAUGCAUGCUAUUGUGGUUGGGGAAAGCCCACAAGGGCUCAAUCCUUUACAAAGAACUACAGGCAAGGAAUGCUGAGAGUGAGAGAAAUAUAUUCUUCCCCAGGGAAGAGCAUACUACUGGUAAUCCAAUACCAAAUGGUCCCUGAAACUUACAAAUAACAUCACUCAGACUGAGCAGGUUGUAUUUAUGUGCUUAGCAGAAUACAUGGAUAUGUGUAUGAUGUUGCAAUUCAUGGGAAAAAGAAGCCAUGAAUUUAAAAGACAUCCAGGAGGGGUGUGCAGUCACACCAAGUGCCUGAGUUGACACCAGUUUUUGUCAGUUGGUUGUAUAAUUAAUAAGAAUCAGUAGGUGUCCAACAGUUACUAUGUACAGCAUUCAAAUACAGAAGUAACUCCUGAAGUGUGCACUUUGAGAACAAUGCGGUUUUGACAUACAUUUUCUAGUAUGUUUCCAAAUUAUUAAUUUGGCAAAAAAAUUUUAAAGAUCCAUCAUUACAGUCACACAACUCAAUUUGGCUGCAAAGAUUUUCAAAGUGACAAUGACACUACAGUAGUUCCAUCCUCUUGUCCUCCUGUCUCCUGUAAUAGCCCUGGAGAUGGAUUUUCUGGGGGGAAAAUAAAUUAGUUCACAGAAAGUGGUACCAAUGCUUACAUCUGAGAUAAAUACCCUUCGAUUCAUGAGUCUAUGUAACUGCUUGUUAUGUAAUGUUUUUAGACUUCAUUUUCAAGUUAGUUAUUUCUCUUAAAAGAAACUUCUGUCUAUAGAAUUCCCUGCAUCAAACUGUGUGUUACAGGCACACUUUACCAUGGUUCAUUCAAUAUAAUGAAGAUAAAUUCUGAUUGGAAAUUUGGAUUUGAGUACACCAGAAUUAAAGCGAUUGACUAAAACAUAACAAAGAACAGCAAAAAUCUACUUAAGAAAAUUCUGGGUGGCAUUACCUGGGUUCUCACAAAGCUCUGCUGUGGGAGCCUUGCACAGCAGAUCCAGUGCCCUCACCUACCAUAGUACGCAGUUCCUGUCCAGGCUCCUGCACAUGCUUCUUGGGUUUUCUGCAUGAAGAACACUGUGAAAUGGAACAUGGCAUUCCCAUUGUUUUAUUCAGUGCAUUUUUUCUCUUGGGACUCCAUGAAUGUUUCAUAUCUGAUGGGAAAUACCUAGUCCUCUUUGCAGCAUGAAAGUGUUCUUUGGUUCAGUGUAAGAUGCCCCACAUACAUAGGGCUCAACAGACAGCCUUCCUUACGGCACUCACGGGAACACCUGCCUUCCUUCUGCUUUUCCCGCUGUGCUCUGGUUCCACUCCACGACAUCAGUACUGAACUGUUUUCAAGAAAAUCAGGGGUCUGGCAAAGUCAUGCAAUGGCUUCCUGGCAAGUAUAAUUUUUUUUCCUCCAAGGCUAGGAAGUGUCAUUGGAGGACAUGUCUUCUAAAACUGUGUAAGUAUAAGGGCAUCUUCUGUGUGGACACAACCAAGGCAAGACCAUGAGCUCCUGCUGUCUGAGGAGGCUGCUGGCUUCCAGGGCCCUGGGUUUUCCUUUCCUGAAACCAUAGUUGUGGCCAAGCCUCAGACCCUCUACCUAUCUCACUUCAUGCCACAAGGCACUGAAGAAUAAGGCCCUAACAAGGAAUACCUGAUAUCACUACUUAAGGUAAUGGCAUUCCUUUACCCAGGCCCAAUGGAAUAUAAAAUUCUAGACUAACCAGGAGAACCUGUCUGAUUUUUUUUCUAUGAUCAAUGGAAAAUUACAUUCACUGAAUAUUUUCAAUGAGCUAGUACUAUGGUAAAUUAUAAGACAUAGUUCUCUGGACUUGAAAAGUUAGAGGCACAUUAAAUAAAAUUACAAGGUCUUAUUGGAUUAAGUGUCAAAAUCAGUAAUAAAAGUACACAUUUAUGGUAACUAAGUAGUAACUGGCUUCUCUAGAACAUGUUGUGAAUACAACUUUUCUACAAGAAUGUUUUUCUGCACUCUCCAGUCUAGGAGGCUAUUAGCGUGUGUGGCUACUGAGCAUCAGAACUGGGACUCACGGCUGAAGAACCACAUUCUAAUCUCAUUAGAUUUGUGUCUCCACGUGUGACCAGUAAACACUGUGUUGUCUGUUUCCUACAUGCUAGCAUCACUGAUUGUCCCACUAGAAUAACUUUUGGGUUCUGUUUUUCUCAUUGUACUUUCAACCUGCAAUGUACUAUGUACUGCACUGAGUGCACAGUAAGUAACUCAAUGAAUUGAAUAAACUGAGGAGCCUAUGAUACUUCCCACCUAACAACCGCCCUGGGGCUGUCACAGAGGGUACAGUUCUGCAUACAUCCAAGUAUCCAGGCAUAUGCUCACAAAAUAAAUUUUACAUCUUGCUUUCCACG
rnacentral:lncRNA from 1 species